ensembl:lncRNA
CAGGGCGCAGGCCCAGGACUUGCAGAUUCCAGGUGAGUGUACAUAAUCAGAUGAAAAUCCUGAAGGUGCCAGACCUGGAGGUUAACACACACUGAUGUGCUGCAACACGCAUGAAUGCUUCAGCAGUUUCUAUACUCGGUAUACCUUGGACAAGCAUAGACAGCAAAUACCCAACCUGAUGAGGUACGGCCUGAGGCAGAAGACAUCAGCACCACUAAUGAGAUAUUUGACAUGUGCCAGGAGCCUUCAAAACCUCUGCGCAAUUGCACAGGUGAGUGUAAGGAGAAGAUAACACAUUGAUUGUGGCCUCACAUGGACCUAUUGAACCUUAAACACCAGGUGCAGGGCUGCUCUCCUUGCAGCCCUAUGGGUUAUCCAAGGCCAGGGUGUUUGGGAAGAGAUUAAUUUCCACACAUUCCCUUGCACUGAAUGUGCGUGCUUCACUCCUGCAGGUCAUCCUACGGUGGACACAAACCAUCUUCCUUUCCUUAGCAAAACUGGAACACCACACAUUGGCUUUGCAAUAGCAACGUAUCUCCAGAUUAGCAGGAACCACCAUCAAGUGAGAUGUAAUGUAUGGUCUUCAGUGACAGAGAAGGAGGAAGCAGUGUAUUUCCAGCAAUAAAACUGCAGGCAUUAAGCUGUAAGAAGUUACAGGCAGCCUUGGCAACACAGACCUCAUUACUGAUGGGUAGAAAAUGCAAUCCAGUUGCAGAAGCUUGCAGGAAAAACAGCAGGGGAGACAUUGCAAGGACCUGUGCAGUAUCCAGCAGUAAUGGAGGGCAGCUACAAUGGCCAAGGAUGGAUAUCAGGUCAUACUGCAGAGAGACAACGAUCCUUCUCACAGUGCAGCUAAGUCCUCCACUUAAAAUGUUCAUCAGCAUACCAAAGCACCAGAAAAGAGAGUGAGGAUGAGAAAAACUUUUGGGGACAUGCCAGAAGACCUCAAAAAACCACAAAGAUUUGGGAUUCCAGGACAGGAGAGAUUCUCAGGGUGCACUCUAGUCAUGGGCCACAGUUCAGUUUGGGGAUCUUAAGUAUUUUCUGCUAUCUUCUAAACAACUUGCAUGAAAAAGUCAAAGGAAAUCCAGAAAGCAGGAAGUGGA